rnacentral:rRNA from 1 species
ACNUGCAGUCGAGCGANUGGAUUAAGAGCUUGCUCUUAUGAAGUUAGCGGCGGACGGGUGAGUAACACGUGGGUAACCUACCCAUAAGACUGGGAUAACUCCGGGAAACCGGGGCUAAUACCGGAUAAUAUUUUGAACUGCAUAGUUCGAAAUUGAAAGGCGGCUUCGGCUGUCACUUAUGGAUGGACCCGCGUCGCAUUAGCUAGUUGGUGAGGUNACGGCUCACCAAGGCGACGAUGCGUAGCCGACCUGAGAGGGUGAUCGGCCACACUGGGACUGAGACACGGCCCAGACUCCUACGGGAGGCAGCAGUAGGGAAUCUUCCGCAAUGGACGAAAGUCUGACGGAGCAACGCCGCGUGAGUGAUGAAGGCUUUCGGGUCGUAAAACUCUGUUGUUAGGGAAGAACAAGUGCUAGUUGAAUAAGCUGGCACCUUGACGGUACCUAACCAGAAAGCCACGGCUAACUACGUGCCAGCAGCCGCGGUAAUACGUAGGUGGCAAGCGUUAUCCGGAAUUAUUGGGCGUAAAGCGCGCGCAGGUGGUUUCUUAAGUCUGAUGUGAAAGCCCACGGCUCAACCGUGGAGGGUCAUUGGAAACUGGGAGACUUGAGUGCAGAAGAGGAAAGUGGAAUUCCAUGUGUAGCGGUGAAAUGCGUAGAGAUAUGGAGGAACACCAGUGGCGAAGGCGACUUUCUGGUCUGUAACUGACACUGAGGCGCGAAAGCGUGGGNAGCAAACAGGAUUAGAUACCCUGGUAGUCCACGCCGUAAACGAUGAGUGCUAAGUGUUAGAGGGUUUCCGCCCCUUUAGNGCUGAAGUNA